GACGAACGCUGGCGGCGUGCUUAGCACAUGCAAGUCGAACGGAAAGGCCCUGCUUUUGUGGGGUGCUCGAGUGGCGAACGGGUGAGUAACACGUGAGUAACCUGCCCUUGACUUUGGGAUAACUUCAGGAAACUGGGGCUAAUAUCGGAUAGGAGCUCCUGCUGCAUGGUGGGGGUUGGAAAGUUUCGGCGGUUGGGGAUGGACUCGCGGCUUAUCAGCUUGUUGGUGGGGUAGUGGCUUACCAAGGCUUUGACGGGUAGCCGGCCUGGGAGGGUGACCGGCCACAUUGGGCCUGAGAUACGGCCCAGACUCCUACGGGGGGCAGCAGUGGGAAAUAUUGCACAAUGGGCGGAAGCCUGAUGCAGCAACGCCGCGUGCGGGAUGACGGCCUUCGGGUUGUAAACCGCUUUCGCCUGUGACGAAGCGUGAGUGACGGUAAUGGGUAAAGAAGCACCGGCUAACUACGUG
rnacentral:rRNA from 1 species